CGUGUAGGCGGGAAUGCAAGUCAGAUGUGAAAUACCGAGGCUUAACUUCGGGGCUGCAUCUGAAACUGUGUUUCUUGAGUGUCGGAGAGGAAAGUGGAAUUCCCAGUGUAGCGGUGAAAUGCGUAGAUAUUGGGAGGAACACCAGUGGCGAAGGCGACUUUCUGGACGAUAACUGACGCUGAGGCGCGAAAGCGUGGGGAGCAAACAGGAUUAGAUACCCUGGUAGUCCACGCCGUAAACGAUGGAUACUAGGUGUGGGAGGUAUCGACCCCUUCCGUGCCGCAGUUAACACAAUAAGUAUCCCACCUGGGGAGUACGGCCGCAAGGUUGAA
rnacentral:rRNA from 1 species